GGUCAAGCGAAUAAGCGCACACGGUGGAUGCCUUGGCGGUCAGAGGCGAUGAAGGACGUGGCAGCCUGCGAAAAGUAUCGGGGAGCUGGCAACAAGCUUUGAUCCGGUAAUGUCCGAAUGGGGAAACCCACCCGCUUGCGGGUAUCCUGCAGUGAAUACAUAGCUGCUGGAAGCGAACCUGGUGAACUGAAAUAUCUAAGUAACCAGAGGAAAAGAAAUCAACCGAGAUUCCGUAAGUAGCGACGAGCGAACGCGGACUAGCCCUUAAGCUGGAUUGGUUCUAGGAAAACGCUCUGGAAAGAGCGGCCAUAGAAGGUGAUAGCCCUGUAUCUGAAAGGGCCAUUCCAGUGAAGACGAGUAGGGCGGGGCACGUGAAACCCUGUCUGAACAUGGGGGGACCAUCCUCCAAGGCUAAAUACUACUGACCGACCGAUAGUGAACCAGUACCGUGAGGGAAAGGCGAAAAGAACCCCGGAGAGGGGAGUGAAAUAGAACCUGAAACCGUGUGCGUACAAGCAGUAGGAGCUCCGCAAGGAGUGACUGCGUACCUUUUGUAUAAUGGGUCAGCGACUUACUGUUCGUGGCAAGCUUAACCGUAUAGGGGAGGCGAAGGGAAACCGAGUCUGAUAAGGGCGCAUAGUCGCGGGCAGUAGACCCGAAACCGGGUGAUCUAGUCAUGCCCAGGGUGAAGGUGCGGUAACACGCACUGGAGGCCCGAACCCACUCCCGUUGCAAAGGUAGGGGAUGAGGUGUGAUUAGGAGUGAAAAGCUAAUCGAACCCGGAGAUAGCUGGUUCUCCUCGAAAGCUAUUUAGGUAGCGCCUCAUAUGUAUCCUCUCGGGGGUAGAGCACUGUUAUGGCUAGGGGGUCAUCGCGACUUACCAAACCAUUGCAAACUCCGAAUACCGAGACGGACUGUAUGGGAGACACACGGCGGGUGCUAACGUCCGUCGUGAAAAGGGAAACAACCCAGACCCACAGCUAAGGUCCCAAAUUCACUGCUAAGUGGAAAACCAUGUGGAAAGGCACAGACAGCCAGGAGGUUGGCUUAGAAGCAGCCACCCUUUAAAGAAAGCGUAAUAGCUCACUGGUCGAGUCGGUCUGCGGGGAAGAUUUAACGGGGCUAAGCAGUGAACCGAAGCUUGGGGUGCAUACUUUGUAUGCGCGGUAGAGGAGCGUUCCGUAAGCCGUUGAAGGUGGAUUGAGAAGUCUGCUGGAGGUAUCGGAAGUGCGAAUGCUGACAUGAGUAACGAUAAUGCGGGUGAAAAACCCGCACGCCGAAAGCCCAAGGUUUCCUUGCGCAACGUUAAUCGGCGCAGGGUGAGUCGGCCCCUAAGGCGAGGACGAAAGUCGUAGUCGAUGGGAAGCAGGUUAAUAUUCCUGCACCUCGCGUAAGUGCGAUGGAGGGACGGAGAAGGUUAGGUGUACCAGGCGUUGGUUGUCCUGGGGAAAGGCGGUAGGUUUGGAUCUUUGGCAAAUCCGGGAUCCUCUAAGACCGAGCACCGAGACGAGCCUUUAAGGCGAAGUCACUGAUACCACGCUUCCAGGAAAAGCUCCUAAGCUUCAGCUUACGCAGACCGUACCGUAAACCGACACAGGUGGGUAGGAUGAGAAUUCUCAGGCGCUUGAGAGAACUCGGGUGAAGGAACUAGGCAACAUGGCACCGUAACUUCGGGAGAAGGUGCACCCUUUUUGGUGGCUCGUGCGAGCUAUAGCUGAAGAGGGUCGCAGUAACCAGGCCGCUGCGACUGUUUAUCAAAAACACAGCACUCUGCAAACACGAAAGUGGACGUAUAGGGUGUGACGCCUGCCCGGUGCUGGAAGGUUAAUUGAUGGGGUCAGCCGCAAGGCGAAGCUCUUGAUCGAAGCCCCAGUAAACGGCGGCCGUAACUAUAACGGUCCUAAGGUAGCGAAAUUCCUUGUCGGGUAAGUUCCGACCUGCACGAAUGGCGUAACGACAGCGGCGCUGUCUCCACCCGAGACUCAGUGAAAUUGAAAUCGCUGUGAAGAUGCAGCGUUCCCGUGGCAAGACGGAAAGACCCCGUGAACCUUUACUAUAGCUUUACACUGAACGUUGAGUUCGUCUGUGUAGGAUAGGUGGGAGGCUAUGAAACCAUGGCGCUAGCUGUGGCGGAGCCAUCCUUGAAAUACCACCCUGUCGUGCUUGACGUUCUAACCUGGGCCCAUUAUCUGGGUCGGGGACCGUGUAUGGUGGGUAGUUUGACUGGGGCGGUCUCCUCCUAAAGAGUAACGGAGGAGCUCGAAGGUACGCUCAGCGCGGUCGGACAUCGCGCACUGUGUGCAAAGGCAUAAGCGUGCUUGACUGCAAGAUCGACGGAUCAAGCAGGUAGGAAACUAGGACUUAGUGAUCCGGUGGUUCUGUAUGGAAGGGCCAUCGCUCAACGGAUAAAAGGUACUCCGGGGAUAACAGGCUGAUACCGCCCAAGAGUUCAUAUCGACGGCGGUGUUUGGCACCUCGAUGUCGGCUCAUCACAUCCUGGGGCUGUAGUCGGUCCCAAGGGUAUGGCUGUUCGCCAUUUAAAGUGGUACGCGAGCUGGGUUCAGAACGUCGUGAGACAGUUCGGUCCCUAUCUGCCAUGGGCGUUGGAGAUUUGAGAGGGGCUGCUCCUAGUACGAGAGGACCGGAGUGGACGAACCUCUGGUGUUCCGGUUGUCACGCCAGUGGCAUUGCCGGGUAGCUAUGUUCGGAAGCGAUAACCGCUGAAAGCAUCUAAGCGGGAAGCGCGCCUCAAGAUGAGAUCUCCCGGGGCACAAGCCCCCUGAAGGAACCAUGUAGACUACGUGGUUGAUAGGUCAGGUGUGUAAGUACAGCAAUGUAUUGAGCUAACUGAUACUAAUGAUCCGUGCGGCUUGACCAU
rnacentral:rRNA from 1 species